CUCCGGUUGGCACAUCGCUCCGUGACUCACCCCGUUGCCUUUUUAUCACAUGUGCUCACCUGCCCCCGAGUUCUGUGACACAGAGUGCUUCCUGCUGGCAGCACCGGGACACGUGUGGCCGUGGAGCCCGGGAUGGUGCCAGCGCUCAGCCGUUCUGCAGUGCUCCGAAGUGCUGUCACUGCUCGGUGCCACCAGAGCCACCAACACGCACAGUGACCUCGGGGUCACAGGGGCUGCUCACCAGGAUCCUUCCCAGAGCCGCUGCCAGUGCUGUCCCUGCCCUCAGCUCGGAGCUGCGGAGCCCGGAGGAGCCCAGCCCCGGGGCUGUGUGCUUUGCUUUAGGAAAUUCCGGGAGAAAAAUAUAUAUAUCUGCAUUUCCCUCUGGGUUCCUCACUUCUGGCUUUAUUGCAGUGGUUACCUCUCCUCUCCUCUGCUCUUUGUGCUGUGCCGUGUUUGGAUGCAGCCAGACUGGAGCAGAGGGGCGGCAAUGCAAACGGAAGACAAUGUUACUGCAGGCAGUACAGUUCCACGGGUGUAAAACGGGUCUGGGAGGCGGCGGAAUCGGUGCCCACCUCUGUGAACAUCUGCGUGGUAUUGACAAAGCUGUUCGUGUCACUGAACCAAUUUAACUAGGGAGCUUUUGUCAUCCACAGUACAUUAUGCUGAGAGGAGACCAAGGUGACAGGUGCAGUAAAAUAAACACUCUGAUACUAUGGUGAUGGAGACCGUAUAAAUACCUGGAUAGGAAAAAACAACAGAGCUGCGCUCCAGCAGAUCCGCACAGUAACCCCCCGUGUCUCCGCGUGUGAAGAAAGAACGAGAAAAUAUGAUCGAGAAUUCAGCUUUCCCAGAACCACUGAAUCAUGCAGCGUUCCCCGUGGCUGAUUUAUCGCUCUGUAGAUGGAAAGAGCUGAGCGCAGCUAUCCGGGCCGCUCGGAGGUGGUGUGGUGCUGAGCAGGAGCCAGCAGGAACAUUUGCGUCUGUGCUUCGGAGGAUUUUGGACAGCCUGCGGUGCCCCCCCUGGGGCCAGCAGUCCUCUUGGGCCAGCAUCCAGCGCAGAGCUGCUGCUCAGAGGUGUUCAGCCCCAGCCCCACUUUGCCACUGAUGUGCAAAGGGCACUUUGGAAGUGGAUGUCUGUGAUCCCAGGGGCCGGACGCAGAGCAGGGAGUGGAAGCUCUCUCUCCUGUUUGUGGAAGCGGCUGCACACGAACCAUCCUCCUUGGGGGGAAUGCUGAUUCCACAGCUAAGUCUCCUCUGUGCAAUAUGAUCCAUUAUGGGAUGGAGACAGCUUUGCGAUGGGAAACGGUAAUGGGCAAAGCGAGAAGUGCAGUUGGUGCCUCUGGGGGAUGGCAGAGCCGACGUCCCCGGGGCUCAUUGCUGCAGCCCCGCUCCCCGUGCGCCCGGAUGUGGCACCAGGAUGGGUGCUGGGAACGCAGCAAGGACAGCACCCGGCUCUGUGUGGUGCCACGUGUGGGGUGAGCCCCAUGCCCUGUGCAGCACAGUGAGGGCCGGGAGGUGAGCGCACACCGCCCCGCUGAAGGCUGCAGAGCUGUGCAUAUGCAGAAUAUGUAUUUUUAAUGCCUUCAAAAAUUUACAGAUCUCAUUAGGACAGCCUGAGCGGGGCGUGCAGUCAGUGCAAAUGCACCGCCUGGAAGAUGGAGUAUUCCCUCCUGUAACAGACCAACACUUUGGACCGGAGUUCUGAAAUCUGCUGCAUUUUGCUGCAGUCUUUCUUUGCAGAUCUCUCCCUCUCCAUUUCUCUCUGUCUCUCUCACACACAUUCGGUCUCUCCUCCUUUUUCCUUCCCUCUCUUUCAUCGUUCCCAUCUCAGAAGUCAGUUUCCUCCUGAAACGCCUGACAUUUACAUCCAGCCAGAACGAGGAGUGUGCUCCUUGUGCCGGCACAUCAGCGCUGCUAUAGGGGCACAGGUCCUUUCAUUACAAAUAAUUAAUUUAACCAUACAUUGCAUAACAUCCUAAAAAGCUUUCUAGGGCAAUCUCAUGCUAGCUGGAUGCACAGCUCCUAUCAAUAUUACAUUACAUUUGGGUACAACCGUUAUGAAGUUUCAUUAAAAAUUUAAUUUGUGGUUUAAAACUGCAGCGUUCCCUACAAAGUGUGGCAGAGAAACCAUUCUGGCUGCUCGAGGUCUGCUCCUGCAUCAGCCAGGACUGCAGGAGAGCUGCAGCAGGGGCCGGGGCUCGGGGUGGCGCUCCCUGUGCUGGCACACACACCAAGAAUCGUUUUACCAUCAGCUGAGCUGUCCUACAGCAGGAACUGGGAGCCGGGAGGGGGAAUGGGGCCCGCCGUCAUGUUUUGUUAAUGAAGUUCUGUUGUGAAUCUUCGGCAGAAGCUUUGAAUGGAGGGCAGGUCUGAAGCAUCCCACAUCCGCCUCUCCGUUUUGGAAUUGAUUUGUACGGUAACUUCUGUCCCUCUCUGCAGGCACCAGAAGGGCCAAUGGCUUUUCCUCCGAGAUGGUCCCUGGGCUCUUUUCUGUCCGGGAUUUCCCAGGGUAGGAGGCAGACGACUGCUGUGCAUGCAGCUCCCUGCGCCGUGGGUCUGCCCUCCCCCCCUACCCCAUCCUCCCUGCACUAAGCCAGGCACAAACCUUGGCUCCAUUUAUUAUAACAAACAGCACCGGUUGGUUUUUUCCCUGCCCAACAAAGGAGGGGACAUUUGUAACAGGCGUGGGGCAUUUCAGCAGCCUGCGCAGUCCUGGUGUGUGCUCGAGGUCUCUGCACAAGAUCGCUUCCCCCUGCUGCAGAGAGGAUAAUAAUGGGGAGUGGGUUCCUAAAUCCCUUAAGCUUCUUUGAUAGCUUCAAUAUUUAUCCGUAAUCCUGCUGGUGCUCCGUACAGAAGCAGCCAGGGCCUGGUCCCACCUUGCAGCAUUCCCUUUCCCCAGGAGGAAGGCAGGGCGGGACAGGAGGGAAACAUCAAAAGCCACAGACACUGUUGUGCCCCAGUUUCUUCCUGCGAUUACUUAUUAUUUUGCACAGUCUCUUGCUCUCCUUCUCCCACGCUCUGUGCUCUGUUAUGGUAAUGUCUGUGGAGGCUGGGCAUGCCUCCGUGCCUGAAGGGAGGACGGACAGAUGGCAGGACGGCUCUGAGGGGGUUCCAAGCACGUAUGGGGUGGGGGACGGCUUGUGGGUGUCCGCAGGUCUGUGCACACGGGUGUCCUGUGAGCCCUGAGCAGGGAGCUCUGCCUGCACGCAGGGAGGAGCUGGCAGAGAGCUCUGCUGGCGCUGGAGGGGCAGCUGCUGCCUGUGCCACAGCCACUCUGUGCUGCUGCUGGGGAUAGCUUGGAACACCUGGAUUGAAAUGCAACAAGGCUUUCAAGGCAGGAUAGGUAAAAAUGCCAUAAUGCAGUAGGAAGUCAUUGCAUUUGCCUGCUGUGGGGCACAGCCCUUCUCUAAAGCAUAGCUUUUAGUAGGGGAGUGGAGCUCUUAUGACAUUGAAGGUUCUCUGCCGGCAAGGAUGCCAUUAGGGCUGGGUAUGCUAUUGAUUCCUCUUCCAAGAUAUAAGGCUUAAGAAGCUGCAGAUAGUGGGUGUAACUGGAAUGACCCGGGAGCUGCUGCCAGGCGGUAAGCGGAGCCGGAGGCGUCCGGCUGUGAGCAGAGCUGGAGCUUCCCAGGCUGACACUGCAGCGAGAGGCCGGAGCCCAGCGAGGCCACAGGCAGCACUGGGAUGGGCAGUGGGGACAGUGGGUGAUCUUCAGGAGGUGAAGGACUGCAGACCUCUGAGCUCCUCAGCACCCGGGGCGUGCGUGGUUCUGUUGGCGUUUCUCACAGCGCUUUGCACUUUGCUUCGAGAAUUGGAUGCCAUCCAAACUUGAGAACAUCAGCACUGCCCUGCUUUGACUCAAGUACAGUAGCAACGCUGCCAGUAUGUGGUCUGUGGGUCUGAUUGCCUUUUGCUGUUAUUUAGGAGGGCUUUUCUGCAUGGCACACGCAAAAUAAGUGACACUGCAAACCUAGACUAUGCUAGCUGCACUGCAUUGCUUCCAAGGACAGAAGCUCUUGGCAUGGUCCUUGGAAGCGGAGUGAGCUUCUCAUGCUUGCCACAUCCUGACUGCUCAAUCAGCAGUUUAAUGGGAAGUCAUUAGUGUACUAUAAAUUCAUACAUUAGAUUUAUGUAGUGCUUAUUUUACCACGUAGAGACGCCUUUGCUUUCCAGCUGUAUGGACGUUCCCCUGUGUAAAUGAGAAGAUCGUGUAUAUAUUCAUCCUGCUUCCAUUAAUUAUAAUAAGUCGAGUCACAUUAUUUCUUAGAAGCCUGCUGGAAUCUCAGCAGUGCCACAACAGCCAUCAAACCCACCGAAACCUGCAAAAUCAGUGCUGAGUGUUGUGUCACUCUGUAUUGGGAGCUUGGGUUUG
ensembl:lncRNA